rnacentral:rRNA from 1 species
GGGGCUGUAGUAGGUCCCAAGGGUUGGGCUGUUCGCCCAUUAAAGUGGUACGCGAGCUGGGUUCAGAACGUCGUGGGACAGUUCGGUCCCUAUCCGUCGCAGGCGUAGGAAAUUUGAGAAGACCUGUCCUUAGUACGAGAGGACCGGGAUGGACGUACCUCUGGUGUACCAGUUGUUCUGCCAAGGGCAUGGCUGGGUAGCUGUGUACGGAAUGGAUAAGCGCUGAAAGCAUCUAAGCGCGAAGCCAACUUCAAGAUAAGAUUUCCCACCGCAAGGGUAAGACCCCAGAAAGACUAUCUGGUUGAUAGGUCGAAGGUGUAAGUGCAGCAAUGUAUUUAGCUUAUCGAUACUAAUAGGUCGAGGACUUGACCAAU